GAUCAAUAACGACACGGCCCACGAACAGACACACGGUACUAAAACCGUUGCUCCAGAUAACAAAACACCGAGAAGAAUAUAUUGUGCCCUCUCGGCCGCACACUCUAUAGACCUCCCCCUCGUGCACUCAACGUUAAGCCUCGCAUCUGAAUGCCGUCACGGAUCGUCGAAAAGUGGGUCAAACGAUGCUGAAUAAGAGGAGAAAAGUUGAAACACCAACGUAUUGGGGUCGAUAAGGACCCCAGAUUGUGGUUGGAGCAUUACUCUAUUUAUUGAAAAAAAAAUCACCCGUUUUGCCCUCGUAGAACGGAAGUUACAGAAAAAACAACGCGAGAAUCCGACGGUCGCCAGUUCAAUCACGAUUUUUACAGGUUAUCACGGGGCAAAAUGGAUUUGUCGCAGGUCAAUCAGAUGGACAAUUUUCUGAUCUUUCGAUUGAAAAAAAAAUCAUCGUUGUAGCACUGAUAGGUGCUGAGAUAAUCGAUAAACUGUGAAAGUGAUUGUAUUUGCUGAUGGGAGAGAUCGAGCAAUCAAUAAAUGAUUUAUGAAAAUUGAUUUGGGAUUUUUUCCGGAUCUAAUGGGGCAAAAUGGAUGAUUUUUUUUUUAUUUUCAUGGGGAACUUACGCACUUUGUAACUGACCGAUUUUCAUCGGUCUAGGUCUGAUAGUCGAUAAGGCAGACGGAAGAAUUCAAAGACGAUAGUCCUUUAUUUGGAAUGAAGAAUUGUUCUACCUCGAGAUUUCUCAUUCAACACCUCCACCAUUGUGAUACGACUCAACAAUGCAGUAUCCGCCCGGAGAGGACACAUUGAGGCGCAUAGUGCAAGUAGAAAAGGCCAUUGUGUCCAGUUACAUCGUAAUUCAAUAAAGUUUCCUCGGUAAUUCAUCAACUCACGGAAUUUCCCCCGAGCCUACGGCGGAUAUCAAAACAAUUUGUAACGAGCUAACGAAGUAUGCGGAUUUCAUCGGCCACCUUGUUUACAUUCCAGGGGGCCUCUAGUGUUACAGAAACAUGGGCUUAAAUGCCUUCGGUGCGGUUUUUAAAUAGCACUCAGUCAGACAGUGACGAAUUUCUCAAAAUAGAAAAAAAUCAUUUUUCCUCAAUUUUCAAAAGAUUUUUCUAUAUUUUCUAUUAUCUUUAUUGUUGACAAUAAACGAAAAUAGUUUUA